rfam:Aspergillus ustus strain 3.3904 ATSC_134, whole genome shotgun sequence.
GCUCGCAUAGCUCAGUUGGUAGAGCGCAUGACUAGUAAUCAUGAGGUCUGCGGUUCAAAUCCGCAUGUGAGCA